rnacentral:rRNA from 1 species
CCCUUAGACGUUCUGGGCCGCACGCGCGCUACACUGACGGAGCCAGCGAGUAUAAACCUUGGCCGAGAGGUCUGGGAAAUCUUGUGAAACUCCGUCGUGCUGGGGAUAGAGCAUUGUAAUUAUUGCUCUUCAACGAGGAAUUCCUAGUAAGCGCAAGUCAUCAGCUUGCGUUGAUUACGUCCCUGCCCUUUGUACACACCGCCCGUCGCUACUACCGAUUGAAUGGCUUAGUGAGGCUUCCGGAUUGGUUUAGAGAAGGGGGCAACUCCAUCUUGGAACCGCGAAGCUAGUCAAACUUGGUCAUUUAGAGGAAGUAAAAGUCGUAACA